rnacentral:rRNA from 1 species
CAGCCGCCGCGGUAAUACGGAGGGUGCAAGCGUUAAUCGGAAUUACUGGGCGUAAAGCGCACGCAGGCGGUCUGUUAAGUCAGAUGUGAAAUCCCCGGGCUCAACCCGGGAACUGCAUUUGAAACUGGCAGGCUUGAGUCUUGUAGAGGGGGGUAGAAUUCCAGGUGUAGCGGUGAAAUGCGUAGAGAUCUGGAGGAAUACCGGUGGCGAAGGCGGCCCCCUGGACAAAGACUGACGCUCAGGUGCGAAAGCGUGGGGAGCAAACAGGAUUAGAUACCCCAGUAGUCCCUGUCUCUUAUAC